UGCCUCAUGGUGUAAUGGUAGCACUACAGUUUUUGGUACUGUCUGACUAGGUUCGAGUCCUGGUGAGGCAAC
rnacentral:tRNA from 1 species